AGAGAUGAUUAACAUGCCCUGGGCUCUGAGUAGUUAAAUAUACUAUUUAUAUGAAGCGCAAUGCAGUCUAGAAAACUAUACCUGAUGA